CGCGGUAUUUUGACCGUGCGAAGGUAGCAUAAUCAUUAGUCUUUUAAUUGAAGGCUUGUAUGAAGGGUUGGACGAGAAAUUAGCUGUCUUUGCGGAAGUGAUGGAACUUGACUUUUAAGUGAGAAGGCUUAAAUGUUCUAAAGGGACGAUAAGACCCUAUAAAGUUUGAUGGUCUAGGUUUUAAGAGACAAGUUGGGUAGCUAGUGUUUAUUAGGGAAGGGGUAUUUUGUUGGGGCGAUAAGAAUAUAAGUGAUUUAACUGUUUUAUGGUUAGUAACAAAGGUAGUUGGAUUUGUUGUGAUCCUUGUUAAAGAUUGUUAGAAUAAAUUACUUUAGGGAUAACAGCGUAAUUUUUUUUGAGAGUUCUUAUCGACAAAGAAGUUUGCGACCUCGAUGUUGAAUUAAAAGUUCUUUGUGGCGUAGCAGUUAGGAGAGAAGGUCUGUUCGA
rnacentral:rRNA from 1 species